UACGUAGGGUGCGAGCGUUGUCCGGAAUUAUUGGGCGUAAAGAGCUCGUAGGCGGCUUGUCGCGUCGGAUGUGAAAGCCCGGGGCUUAACUCCGGGUCUGCAUUCGAUACGGGCAGGCUAGAGUUCGGUAGGGGAGAUCGGAAUUCCUGGUGUAGCGGUGAAAUGCGCAGAUAUCAGGAGGAACACCGGUGGCGAAGGCGGAUCUCUGGGCCAAUACUGACGCUGAGGAGCGAAAGCGUGGGGAGCGAACAAG
rnacentral:rRNA from 1 species